UACAGGGGGUGCAAACGUUGCUCGGAAUCAUUGGGCGUAAAGCGCGCGUAGGCGGUUACUUAAGUCGGAUGUGAAAGCCCUCGGCUCAACUGAGGAAGUGCAUCCGAAACUGAGUAGCUAGAGUACGGAAGAGGGUCGCGGAAUUCCCGGUGUAGAGGUGAAAUUUGUAGAUAUCGGGAGGAACACCGGUGGCGAAGGCGGCGACCUGGGUCGAUACUGACGCUGAGGCGCGAAAGCGUGGGGAGCAAACAGG
rnacentral:rRNA from 1 species